GAUGAAGAACGUAGUGAAAUGCGAUACGUAAUGUGAAUUGCAGAAUUCAGUGAAUCAUCGAAUCUUUGAACGCACAUUGCGCCCGGUAGUAUUCUGCCGGGCAUGCCUGUUCGAGCGUCAUUUCAACCAUCAAGCCCCAGCGCUUGUGUUGGGGGCCUGCGGCUGCCGCAGCCCCCUAAAAGCAGUGGCGGGCUCGCUAUCACACCGAGUGCAGUAGUUCAUCUUCUCUCCGGUCUUGUGAGGCGGGUUCCGGCCGUGAAACACCCCACUACAUUCAAGGUUGACCUCGGAUCAGGUAGGAAUACCCGCUGAACUUAAGCAUAUCAAUAAGCGGAGGA
rnacentral:misc_RNA from 1 species